GAUGAACGCUGGCGGCGUGCUUAACACAUGCAAGUCGAACGGAAAGGCUCCUGCUUGCAGGGGUACUCGAGUGGCGAACGGGUGAGUAACACGUGGGUGAUCUGCCCUGCACUUCGGGAUAAGCCUGGGAAACUGGGUCUAAUACCGGAUAGGACCACAUUUUGGGUGGUGUGGUGGAAAGUUUUUCGGUGUGGGAUGAGCUCGGGGCCUAUCAGCUUGUUGGUGGGGUAAGGGCCUACCAAGGCGUCGACGGGUAGCCGGCCUGAGAGGGUGUACGGCCACAUUGGGACUGAGAUACGGCCCAGACUCCUACGGGAGGCAGCAGUGGGGAAUAUUGCACAAUGGGCGCAAGCCUGAUGCAGAGACGCCGCGUGGGGGAUGACGGCCUUCGGGUUGUAAACUCCUUUCGCUAGGGACGAAGCGCAAGUGACGGUACCUGGAGAAGAAGCACCGGCUAACUACGUG
rnacentral:rRNA from 1 species